GUGGUCCAAGAAAUUAUUUGAUUAAGAGUAAAAAAGUAUUUGUGAAAAGUACUACUCAAGUAAAAAGCGUAACUCAGGUCUAAACCGGAUCUAAACUAGGAUUAACUCAGGACUACACCAUACAGAGGGGACGGGAGGGCAUCUGACACAACUGUAUCUGAGCACAAACUGAGCUAGCGUUCAUGAAGUCAAACUCAACACUGCCCAAUAAUUAGCAAUUAGACAGGUCCUGGUUUAGUCCUGGUUUAGUAUGGUUUUGUACUCAUUUACUCCUCGUCCAGUCCUGGUUCAGUCCUGACGAUCUUAAUGGAAACAAGUGAGGUCUGUGGAGAAGUGAGCCCACUCACAGUAACAAUGCAUGUUUUUCAAGAUUUUUUUGAGCAACAAAAAAACUCAAAUUGAAAAUGAAGUUUAAUGCCAUAUUUGAAAUCUUCCAGACAAAGUAAUAACAUCCCCACAGAGGCAAACAGGUGGUGGACCCUAGACCAGAAAAGUUACACAGUUCAGCUUUAAUGUUAUUUCUGCCAGAGCAGGUUCUGAUCAUGUGAUUUGACUGAAGCACAAACGUCUGUAAACAGCUGCAGGUUUGAAACGUGAAACUGAAAGUAAUAUUUACAUUUGAAAACUGAGAACUCUGUAUCCUGUAAUAAAGAGGACAGAAACCAAGUCUGAACCAGGUCUAAACCGGGUCUAAACCGGGUCUGAACCGGGUCUGAAGUGGGUCUGAAGUGGGUCUGAACUGGGUCUGAACUGGGUCUGAACCGGGUCUGAACCGGGUCUAAACCAGGUCUAAACCAGGUCUAAACCAGGUUUGAACCAGGUCUAAACCAGGUUUAAACCAGGUCUGAACAGGUAUAAACCAGGUCUGAACCAGAUCUGAACCAGGUCUAAAAUUUAUUUAUUUAUUUAUUUAUUUCAGGGACAAUGCACAUUAAUAAACAUUUGCAUGUAAAUAUGCCAGAAUUGAACUAAACCAGAGCUAUACCAGGUCUAAACCAGGUCUAAACCAGGUCUUGGUCCUGGUGAUGUGGCGUUGUGAGAAUAGAACAUCUGCUCCUGUUUAAAAACUGCUUACUGUAACAUUAAAACAGCAUCCCCUGGUGGUAGAGCCUGGAAAUGAAGCCCUUUUGAUUUCAGUUCUAGCACACAGUUUCACAUUUGAGUAAUCUGAUAUGGUUCAUUUUGGCAACUCUGUCUCUACCAGGCUGUAAAAUAAAUAUACUACAAC
ensembl:lncRNA